UCUGACAAUCCUUGCAGGAGAAUCAUUUCUAUAGUAUUCGACCUUCUCUUGGUUUCCUAAAGAAGCCACAGAAUCCACCCUGGUUGAUGAAUGAAUAUCCUCGACGCCCUAGAGUGAAAGCUCCGGUUCCUCUCGCUCUGUCCGCAAGGACGGCGGCGUUUGCGCUCUGCAGACACUGUAUAGAGAGAUUGUUCCCAUGUGGCAUGGCAACAUGUCGGGAAGCUUUGUUGAUGAUCUCGACCCUGUUCGUUGUCUUGCCUUCGGGCGCAUGGGCAGGGUGGGCGUUGAUGGACGUCUGACAGGC
rnacentral:snoRNA from 1 species